GGACCUGUGGCCCAAUGGUUAAGGCGCCGAGCUUAUGCCUCGGAGAUUCGUGGUUCAAUCCCGCGCAGGUCCA
rnacentral:tRNA from 6 species